GAAUGAUGGCAUUGGAUACAGUUUGAAGGACUUCAGUACGUUGGGAAUUUGCUGCGACCUCCAACAUGCCGGCCAAGCCAGCCCCAAUCAAGAAGGCGGCUAAGAAAGAACCCGCCAAGAAGGAGGAGGAAAAUGCUCCAGAGCCGGCUCCGGCUCCCGAGCCCGCCGCGGAGCCCGCUCCGGCCGAGGAGGCUCCCGCUCCCGCAGAGGGAGAGGCCGCCCCAGCCCCCGCCGAGGGAGAGGCCCCCGCUGAGGGCGAAGCUGCUGCCCCCGCAGAGGGUGAAGCUGCAGCAGCACCUGCACCAGAGCCAGAGCCCAAACCACCCACACCUCCUCCGCCCAAAGUGCCCACAAGUGCUCCUGUAGAACUGUUUGUGGAGGACAAAAAUGAUACUUCAGUCUCCAUCAUUUGGAGCCAGCCUGAGAACAUCGGGGACACCGGUCUUGAUGGAUAUGUCAUCGAAAUCUGCAAAGACGGAACUGAUGACUGGAAAGCAGUCAAUGAGGAACUGCAGAAGGCCUGUCGCUACGUCAUCAAGAACCAGACGACCGGUGACCGCCUGAAGAUCCGCGUGGUGGCUGUGAAUGAAGGAGGCCGCAGCCCCCCUGUUGCCCUCGCAGAGCCCGUGGUCGUUAAGGAGGUUGCUGACCGCCCCAAGGUCCGCUUGCCUCGCUUCCUCAGGCAGAGAUAUGUUGCUCGUGUUGGAGAGAAGAUCAACCUGACCAUACCGUUCACAGGCAAACCCAAACCUGUUGUGUCAUGGACAAAGAACGGCGGGCCUCUGGACACAAAGAGGGUGAACAUCCGCAGCACUGAAAGGGACAGCAUCCUGUUCAUCCGUGCGGCUGAAAGGGAUGACUCCGGAGUGUAUGAGAUGUCUGUGAAAGUAGAGGACUUUGAGGACAAAGCCCCACUUAUUCUUCAGAUUGUUGAGCUGCCUGGACCUCCUGCCAGUGUGAAGAUUGUGGAUACUUGGGGUUUCAACGUUGCUUUGGAAUGGACUGCCCCCAAAGACAAUGGAAACACUGAGAUCACAGGAUACACAGUGCAGAAGGCUGACAAAAAAACUGGAGACUGGUUCACUGUUUUGGAACAUUACCACAGACUUAAUGCUACAAUCUCUGACCUUAUAAUGGGAAACACCUACAAGUUCCGAGUGUUUUCAGAAAACAAGUGUGGAAUAAGCGAGUCUGCUACUGUUGCUAAAGAGGAGGCCAAGAUCCUGAAGACGGGAAUUGAAUACAAGCCCCCAGAGUACAAGGAGCAUGACUUUGCUGAGCCUCCCAAGUUCACCACGGCUUUGAAUGACAGGAGCACCACUGUUGGCUACUCCACCAAGCUGCUGUGCUCCGUCAGGGGAUUCCCUAAGCCCAAGAUUGAAUGGAUGAAGAACCAGAUGAUUAUUGGAGAUGAUCCCAAGUUCAGGCAGAUCUGCGUCCAAGGUAUCUGUUCCCUGGAGAUCCGAAAGCCCGGUAACUUUGACGGCGGCGUGUACUCCUGCAGAGCCAAGAAUGACCUUGGAGAAACAGUCGUGAGCUGCAAGUUGGAGAUCAAACAACCAGUGAUUCCAGAGGGGGACAAGAAAUAAACGAAAAGCUUCAGUUUUACAGUCCCAAAUUAGGAGCAGCGACCUUUGCAGCGUAAGAACAGUUUCCUGGAAGAACAUGUAUAUAUGGCUGGUGCCCACACUGCCAACAAGUUUUAUCCUGUGAACUCUCAAGCAUCUGUGAAGAUAAACGAUUUAAGUCAUCGCUUCAUGCCUGGAACUACAUAAUUAAGUCCAUAUCCAUGUCCAAAGUUUGAUUUUUUUUUUCUUUUUUUGUUUUGUUUUUUUUGCUCUCAUUUUGAUUAAGUUUUCCCAAAAACACUUUUGAUGUCCUCUGGAUUAUGACUCUACCUGCCUACUUCACCAUCAUGUCAAGUCUUACUCUCAUGAAUGUACUGUUCCUCAAAGGAGAGCUACAUGUGUUUAUAUCAAUAAACUAUUUAAUUUCUGGUC